rnacentral:rRNA from 1 species
CCUACGGGUGGCUGCAGUGGGGAAUAUUGCACAGUGGGCGCAAGCCUGAUGCAGCCAUGCCGCGUGUGUGAAGAAGGCCUUCGGGUUGUAAAGCACUUUCAGCGGGGAGGAAGGCGGUGAGGUUAAUAACCUCAUCGAUUGACGUUACCCGCAGAAGAAGCACCGGCUAACUCCGUGCCACCAGCCGCGGUAAUACGGAGGGUGCAAGCGUUAAUCGGAAUUACUGGGCGUAAAGCGCACGCAGGCGGUCUGUCAAGUCGGAUGUGAAAUCCCCGGGCUCAACCUGGGAACUGCAUUCGAAACUGGCAGGCUAGAGUCUUGUAGAGGGGGGUAGAAUUCCAGGUGUAGCGGUGAAAUGCGUAGAGAUCUGGAGGAAUACCGGUGGCGAAGGCGGCCCCCUGGACAAAGACUGACGCUCAGGUGCGAAAGCGUGGGGAGCAAACAGGAUUAGAUACCCUUGUAGUC